rnacentral:misc_RNA from 1 species
UAUAUAUAUAGACAGAAGGCCAGUGUAUACAUUUCUAACAGUAUUCAGUACAAGAAAGUACUCAAGAUGAUGGUAUCCGCUUUUAUGAUUCUCGUUGUCUGCUUUUUACCAGCGUGUUACGGGUACACGUGGCUGAGUGGAGCACCCUACAACGGCUCUACCUACUACUCGUGUGUGGGCGACUCAGUCACCUUUCCCUGGGCCAUCAUCCCCAUUGCUUCUGAAAGAGCUGAGCUGGAAUGGUCCUUUAGAGACAAUGAUGGCAAUUCAGAAGUUAUUGCAACAUACCUCAACGAUGAGUUUCUCGUGCCCCACUCUUCACAGCGAACUUUGACCUUCGCUGGAAGUGUGGGCCUUAUAAUCAGCAACUUAAAGCACGAAGAUUUCGGCGAAUACUCAGUUCGUGUUAUCAUCAACGGCUUCAUUACUGAGACGAGAUACGCUUACCUGAGACAACCAGAUCCUCCGAGGACGGACGACGACCGGCUGCACGCGCGGAUGUUGCCCAACGCCAUCUUCAGCUCCGGGGAGUGGCAGGUGCAGCUCGCGUGCGGUUCGUUUUCCUCCCGGGGCUCCUCAUCUUUUUCUGUGAAAUGGAAGACACCUUUAGGUCAGAUACUGGACAGCGACAUUUCCGCAGACCACGACUACAUUUUGAAGUUGAACAACCCUUUAGAGGAGGGAAACUACUCCUGCUUCAUAGACCUCCACGAGCCUGCUGCCAGGUGUGCGCAUGUCCCACCCACCAUGCUGGUCAGUAACGAGAUUCACGUAGACGAGUGUUCGGCACAGAGGGCGCUGUUCAGUUCAGCCAAGCGUGAAAUCCAGGAAAUCACAUCCAUCUUCCAACAGUUUGUAAAUCUAGAAUCUGCAGACCGUGGAAUGGAAGACUUGAAGUGAAGGUGAACGACACUUGGGGAGCGGUGUGCAGCAGCAACUACUACUCGUCCCUUGCCCUUGUUGUCUGCAGGAGUCUACGACUCAAGCGAGAUGCAAGUUAUUCCCCGCAAGUCAGUAUCGGCACAACGUACGGCACGAGCACGUUACCGGCUCACAUCGGAUACAUUACCUGUAACGGCGAUGAAGACAGCAUCUUUGACUGCUCCAUCACCUACAACGGUCAAUC